UUCAGUCUAGACAUACAAUUUUUAUUGUUUAACCUAGACGUAUUGUAACUAAUUUAACGCACGAGAAAGUGGUUGCUGCUGCCAUCUUGCAACAUCGCUGUGAAAAGCACACUGCUCAAAUUGUAAUAACAAAAGGUAAAAAACAUAUUUUUUUACUUUAUCACAAACUUGGUGCAGUUUUAAAGGUUUUUGUUUGACAAUUGUAAAAUGCAAAGAGCACCGCCACACCGCGGCUCGCUCAAUGGCUGCGUACGCGCGUACUCUGAUCAAGACGACUUCCAAGUCGGCCGAUGCAAUGGCGGGACCGCCCGAAGAUGUCGACGCCGUCGACUUGAAGAUGACAUUGCUCGAGUUUCGCCUGAGCGCUGGUCUGUCGAAGGGCGAAGCGAGUCGGAAGCUGGCCAGCGCGUGCCGGCGAGCGGCAGCGAUCGGACUUGCGGCAAACACACUUUCGGAGCCGCCGCGCCUGAGUCUGGGCUGUCCCGUGUUGGACGAAUACCUCGACGGCGGCCCAAGCACUCGCGGCCUGAUCGAGCUGUGCGGCGAAAGUGGCAGCGGCAAGACGCAGCUGUGCCUCCAGGCGUCCCUCGCAGCCACCGCCGGCGGCAACGACGCUCACGUUCUCUACAUAUGCACCGAGGAGCGCUUUCCCGAGAAGCGCCUGCGCCAGAUGGACCCGAGCGCAGUACGCGGAGAGCGCGUGCUCGUGGCCCAGCUGGGGGAGUGGCCCAUGCUUAUUCAGUGCCUGGAAGGCUCGCUGCCGGGCUUACGUCGCACGAGGCGCAUCACGCUUCUGGUGAUCGACUCGGUCGCUGCGCUCCUGCGCGCGGACCCGGAGCGCGCCCAGGGCCUGCGGCGUCUGGGCGCACUUCUGGACGGCCUCUGGCGAUCGGGUGUCGCGGUACUGUGCGUCAACCAGGUGACGGACGUGCCCGGAGGUCGCACGGCGCCCAGCCUGGGGCCCGGCUGGGCGAACCUGGUCACCACUCGCCUCGUGACCAGUCGGUCGCCGUCGGGAGUCCGCGCCCUGCGUGUAGCCUUCGCACCUUCGAUGUCGCCGAGAGAACCGUGUCGGUUUGCCAUCACUGCGGAUGGCGUGCGGGGGGUGCGGUAGAAGACGCGACGGUUCGUUUGUACCGGUGUCGACCGCUCCCGUGAGGCCAGUGAGCCAGUUCGACGGCCCGUGAGAUGGGAAAGUGCAAUGUGUGUGAGUGACCGCGCACGGUACGCCUUAACCGUGUCUAACGUGGCGCGUGAAGUGGGUCGAAACCCUAAGCGUAAAAACUAAGUGAAAGUAUCGAAUGGACUACUAUAGUGCGAAACUAACUGUGAUAAAGCUGUGAAGUGUGGUUUCCACUCUGCUCUGCAUCCUAAUCUUUUUGUAGGACAAGGGCCUCCUACAUGUCCUGCAGCAGCUUGAAGCACUAGUGACUGGAGAUGUGACUCCAACCAUGCCAGGUGAAAUGCGUAGUUGAGUAAUGAGGAGAAGGUUUUUGCUGCCACUGUGAAAGCAUGGUAGUUUGAACCAUCAUCAAACUUCGUUGCAAUGCUGGCGAUCGGCUGGCUUGUGGCACGAGAAAAUGCCUUGUUGAUUCUGCUGCAACGGAU